rnacentral:rRNA from 1 species
UACGAAGGGGGCUAGCGUUGCUCGGAAUCACUGGGCGUAAAGCGCACGUAGGCGGCUUUCUAAGUCAGGGGUGAAAUCCUGGAGCUCAACUCCAGAACUGCCUUUGAUACUGGAGAGCUUGAGUCCGGAAGAGGUGAGUGGAACUCCGAGUGUAGAGGUGAAAUUCGUAGAUAUUCGGAAGAACACCAGUGGCGAGGGCGGCUCACUGGUCCGGUACUGACGCUGAGGUGCGAAAGCGUGGGGAGCAAACAGG